AUCAGAGUGGUGCAGUGGAAGCGUGGUGGGUCCAUAACCCACAGGUCCCAAGAUCGAAACUUGGCUCUGAUA